rnacentral:rRNA from 1 species
UGGGGAAUUUUGGACAAUGGGGGCAACCCUGAUCCAGCGACGCCGCGUGAGUGAUGAAGGCCUUCGGGUCGUAAAGCUCUGUUGAACGGGAAGAAACAAAUGACGGUACCGUUUAAGAAAGGAUCGGCUAACUUCGUGCCAGCAGCCGCGGUAAUACGAAGGGGGCUAGCGUUGUUCGGAUUUACUGGGCGUAAAGCGCGUGUAGGCGGGUCGUUAAGUUGGGGGUGAAAUCCCGAGGCUCAACCUCGGAACUGCCUUCAAAACUGGCGACCUGGACUCAAGCAGAGGCAAGUGGAAUUGCGAGUGUAGAGGUGAAAUUCGUAGAUAUUCGCAGGAACACCAGUGGCGAAGGCGACUUGCUGGGCUUGUAGUGACGCUGAGACGCGAAAGCGUGGGGAGCAAACAGGAUUAGAUACCCCCGUAGUCCCUGAGCGGGCUGGCAAGGCGCAU